rnacentral:misc_RNA from 1 species
UAGAGUUCAUGCCCUCACGGGUAGAUCUCCCACCCUUGAAUACUAUACCUUUGUUGCUUUGGCGGGCCGCCUCGGCUACCGGCUUCGGCUGGUGAGUGCCCGCCAGAGGACCCCAAACUCUGAAUUACAGUGUCGUCUGAGUACUAUAUAAUAGUUA